GACUAAUUCCCAAGCAGGCUGAAAGGUCUAGGAAAGUUCACAGACCAUCAUUAUGACAUAAUAAUUCCCUCCUUACUGUGGAAUAACAGCACAGGCCAUUUGUUCUGUUCCUGGAACACCGAUGAGCUGUGUACACGUUGGUAAAUGAGUCUGUUUCUUGUUGCUGUUUUGUGGAAUCUGGCACUUGGACACAGGAAAAGAAAAGCAACUGAUGCACCCUGGGAGGAAGAAGUCCAACUCUGCCUUAACACAGAUCCUCAGCUAUCUAAGGCUUCACAGCAUCGCCACGCACAACAAAAGAUUAGAGGCCAUGAAGAUCAAGCACCUUUACUGUCUUGCUUUCCUCAAAGAACUAUUAUUGUCACAAAACUACCAAGACUGUGAAGAGGGAAAGUGCUAGCCUGGAAUACAAAUCUUAAGGAUAGAAACAUUGUUUUUAUGUCAGGCAAUACUGUCUCACCGUACACUGCGGCUGGCCUAGUCCUCACUGCAGAGCACAUCGGCCUUGAACUCAUAGAAAUCUCCAAGCUUAAGCUUCCUGGUUGCCUAAAUUGCAGUCAUGUUCCACAGUACCCAACAUGAUUUUGACUUUUUAAAAUUUAGGAUACAUCAUCCACUCAACCUUAAUUUUUAUUUUCAUUCUUUUGUCUUUUUCCUUUUUUUAUUUAACAAAUGGCAUUAAAUGUGAGCAUCAGAUUUCUAUAGAUGCUGCUUCAUGCCAUUUGGGUCAUUUUCCUUGCUGCCUUGUCAUUUCCUUGCAUCCAUCCCAGUACUUUAGAUCCUUUCCCUUUCAAUCCAUGAUACUACCCUACUUCACAAUAAAGGAUAAAUGCAUGUC